rnacentral:tRNA from 1 species
GCCAGGAUGGUAGAGUGGUCAAAUACACGGCUCUGUAAAAGCCGCGCCUUACGGCUACGAAGGUUCGAAUCCUUCUCCUGGCA